GUUAAAUAAGAAAGAAACGAAAGCAGCUGCUUUUAAUGAAAUACAAUGUUAACCAACAGUAGGGCACAUCUGGGUUAUUUCCUUUAUGAACUAUCUAGGACCUGUAGCCUGGAAAUCCAGACCCAAAUCCGAGAUAUUAAGAGUCUGGCAUCAAGUAAUGAAAGUCGCCCAUCUCAAGAGGCGGUACAAAGCGUAAAUUUGAAAAUCUCAAAAAAAAGAAUAGCUUGGCCACAAGGGCAUAGCUAAUGAGCAGCAUUACUCGAUGCCAGAGUAACUCGCUGAGUAAAUUCAAAUUGUCCUCUCCCGAGAACUCUGGAUUUCCAGGGUAUGGGACCUGCAAAAGUCCCAAAAAGUCCAUCACAUCUACUCACUUGUCAACAGAGGACAAACAUUUAGCAAUAAAAUUGCUGGAUUAUGUUCAAAUUCUCUUUAUUGGUAUGCAGUUGUUGACACAUUGUCACUUAACAGCUCAUUGAAGCUUCAGCAACAACUUAGCUCUCAAAAAAAAAGGAUUCCAGGUCACAGCUGGAUUUUCAUCUG